rnacentral:rRNA from 1 species
UACGUAGGAGGCGAGCGUUGUCCGGAUUCAUUGGGCGUAAAGAGCGCGCAGGCGGUUUGGUAAGUCGGAUGUGAAAUCCCGGAGCUCAACUCCGGACCUGCAUCCGAUACUGCCCGACUAGAGGUAGGUAGGGGAGAUCGGAAUUCCUGGUGUAGCGGUGAAAUGCGCAGAUAUCAGGAGGAACACCGGUGGCGAAGGCGGAUCUCUGGGCCUUACCUGACGCUCAGGCGCGAAAGCUAGGGGAGCGAACAGG